rnacentral:lncRNA from 1 species
AACUGAUUUUAUGUUAAAAACAGACUUUUCUACUUUAUUAAAGAUUUGUUAGAACAUUGAGCUCCAUUCAUCAAUAAUUUGGCUCCACUCUUGCCACCUUUUGCAAAGUAUCUGCAGGCCUCCUGGCACUUGGGAAUGAUGCUGGGCUGGCUACAUAGUGAAUACUGAAGGAGACCCCCUAUCAUGUUCUUACUGAAGGAAGUGUGACAUAGUGUGAAUCUGUGUCUAGCUAUCUAUGGAAAUUUCACUAAUAGAAAUUUUAAAAAAUGAAAGAAGUUCGACUGGUCUUCUGUACGGAGGAAUUGACAAGGUAAUAAUGGCAGUUGUGUAG